rnacentral:lncRNA from 1 species
UUUUAGACUCCUCACGCUUUCUAGAAAUUUUACAUCUUUCAGGGGGUGGUAGCUCUUUUCGGCAUGACAGAUGCUGAAGCUCACUCAAUUCUUUUCUGCUCAUAUAAUGACAAUACUGUUCGUAUAUAUGACUUGCCCUCGUUAGUAUCAUCAAACUACGAUCAUCUCUGUUGAUAUGAUUCACCCAUUUGUGCUGGUCUGUUGAUGGUUUUAAUUUUGGUUUUAGGUUUAAUGAAAGGGGCAGAAUAUUUUCUAAACAGCAAGUCCAAGUGAUUCAAAUUGGCAUUGGUGGUCUCUUUUUCACUGGUGAUGCAGCAGGACAGCUCUCCGUCUGGAAAUUGCUUGGAGUUCCAUGUGCAAUGGCAUCUUGAGUCGAUUUGAUCUGAACUACUAGCUGAAACUAUUGAUUCGUAUUUUUUAUUGCUGGCAUCCUCAUACUGAUGCAAGAUGAGCCCUUUCUAGAAAUAUUCUCAUAUCUGAUGUAUUUUUGGUAGAAAAAGCUACUGUGUAUUGUAAUACACGUUAGGGCAGCGAAUAUCAGUUUCCAACGAGAAAGACUGUUGUUAUCUUGUUUUGAGAGGGGCACUAAUCCUUUAAAUCUGGUACCAAGGGAAUUCGUUGGCAAUAUGCCUACGCUGAUUCAAAUUCAGCUCGGCCCAAUAUAAUGAGGCUACUAUGAAAUAUUUACUCAUGGGUGGGGAUCUCAUCCGAAUCGCCCCAUCUAUCCUCCUGAGGAGAAGUUUGGCUUCAAACCGCCGCAGCCCGCCAAUUAGUUAACCAUAGACAUUAAGAGAGGAAGACCCUUGUAUAUUGUCACUUGCUUCACAAUGUUAAAAAUCAUUUUUUUUUUCAUUUUUUUUCACAUCCAUGGGUUGGAGCAAUGUUUCUUCCAUGCUUUGUGUUGUGCUUCUCAAUUUUGUUUACAUGAUAGCUAAACAGCGUCUAAUUUUCUUAUUGACUCCAUUUUGUGUCUAUUCUUGAAUAGUUCUGUACUUGAUGUAUAUCUAGAUAGCGAAUUUGGUUAGGUUUCUCUAUAGUUGGAUGAUUAGGUUAUGUUCAUGAGCUUUCAAGAUGCUACAACAAAUAG